UAUAGCCGGCGCCGCGACCCGCGUGACCCGCAGCGCCUCGCCCCGGCUCCGGAGCCCCGCCCCCGGGGGUGGUGCAGCCCACGCCUGCCCGGCGUGCCCAAUCGGGACAACAGAGCGCCUCUGCCAACCAGACUAUAAGAAGAGAGAGAUGGGAGAUUAGGGUGGGUCCUGGCCACCUCACCAGGGGAGAGAGCAUCAGUGGAGUACGGCCCUUAGAGACCUGGACUUGUCUUGGUCCUGAUAAUCUUCAUCCUCCCAUAGGGGAGAAGAAAGCCCAAGAGACUUGCAGUCAAGGAAAUGUUUCUGAGGUCAUUGUUCAAUGAGCAUGAAGUAAGCAUCCCGGAAAUAGUCUGCUUGGAGGGGACGAACUGCAGUGGAAUGGGAACAUUGUGGAACAAGACCAGGUUCAAAGGCAAUUUCAGAGGCUGUCCAUUAGGAUUUGGAUGGAGCAGGGAAGAGAAGGCAGGAGCCUUUGAAUAAAUGGAAACUGCCUCUGCUCUACCCACAACUCCCACUUGGUUAUGCUUACACAUGAAUGAGGUAGAAAUUACUGUGAUUGCGACUGAUGGUUUACAACUUGCCAAGCACUGUUUCAGGUGCUCUGUGUGUAUCAUAUCAUGCGACACUCUCAAUAAACUUUAGGUUGAUGCACCUUGUUUUGCAGACUAAGAAACUGAGGCCCAGAGAAUGAAGCAACAGUUAAAUGAGCGAAGCACUUAACAAACUUCAAGUCCGUAGGUGCCUUUUCUCCGGCUGUCAGACUGCGGCUUUCCACCUGAGGUCCCAAUGAGCACUUAAAAAAAAGAGAGAAAUAAAAGAGAAAAUAUCAGAGUGCAUCCAACAUACUGGAGCAACCACACUGCAGUCCUCUUGGCCACAGCGGGAAGACAGCAGGCCUACCAAGUGGGAGAAGAAAUCAAACACCAGUGGAACUGCAGGACAUGGCCAGUGAGUCCAGCAGGAGUUGGAGAAUUGACAUGGGACUGGAUUCUCCUUGUGUUGCAUCAAGGGAGGCAAACCAUGAAGUUGGAUGAAGGAGAGUAGAUUGAAUCGGGAGCACUACUAUGUGGUACAGGAUGUAACACCCUGGCAAGGAGCAGGCAGUGGUAUUAAUGCUCUACUUGGUUGGCUCAUGGAAGCUUAGAAAAAGCAAUGGCUUGCACUAAAUGAAACAGAACUGCCAGCACUGCCAUGGCAAAUAGUGGGUGAAGGGAUCAAAAGACUCAGAGAAGUGGGCAUGCUGGUGUAGACAGGCUACUGAGGACAGAAAACUCACCAGGCGGCUGUGGUCCACAGGAGGACCUGAAGAACAUUCUAUUUUUCCCAAGUGAUAAGGAAUGUGCUAGUGAAUAUGGCCACCAGCAUGGGUAAAAAGUCCAGUGGCUGCUCCUCUCUAGGCCAGGGCUGAUGGGAGAUGCCCAUGCAGAAAGAAGUACGCUUCUAAUUCUGAUGAGGAUGACAGAAUCUCAAAAUAAUAGAGGCCAGUGAUGGCACGCCACUGCCAGCAGCAAGGUGGGUAAGAUUACUAUAAUACAUGACAAGAACAGUUGUAAUUCACAGCAGCCAGAGGAGUCUGUUCCCAUAGAGAAUUAUAAGAUGGUAUUAGAACAUAGUAUUCCUAGGGGGCAAGAUAUAGCUUAAUUUAUACAACUAAAGGGAAUCAGAUGGAUGAUAAAGGCUCAAGGCAGCCAUCCCAGUAAAAAAUUAUGAACAGUUGCCUAUCAGACCUCUGACUGAAGGGAGGCUGAGCUGCAUAAGGAAGGAUCCUACAAUGUCAUGGCAAAUGUAUAUGGUAGUGAUGGUCCCUCUCCAAAUGGACCUCUAAAGGGACCUCAGAAGAAAGGAGAAUAACCAGAUAUUUCAAGGCCUGUCGGACACAGGAUGAGUUAACACUGAGAAGCAGAGACCUGAAACAUCAUCAUUAUGGAGCCCAGCUCAUACAUGGCAUCCUGGGCCAGGCCAAGUCAUAGUGGACCCACUGUGCCCAUAGAUCCCCCGGAUGCUCAUUUCCCUGAUCCACAAAUAGAUCACUGGAAUGGACAUGUUUCCCAAUCAGAAUAACCCCAUAUGGUCCUCAGCCUGUGGGGAAGAACCACUGUAGGGGGAAAAGUCAAGUGGAAGCCUCCGAAACUGCCUCCCCUGACCAAAAUAGUAUGUCAAAAACCAUAUUCCAUCCCAGGGGGGAUUGGCCUAACAAAUUAGCGUCACCCAUAAAGAUGAAAGAAUGUGCAGGUGGAGGUGCGUAUCAUACCCCCUUUUAAAUCACAUCUGGUUCCUGCACAAACCAGAUGUAUCCUAGCAGAAGGCAAGUAGACAACUGUGAACACAACCAAAGGGUAGCCCCAGUGGUUGGUUAUCACGGCUUUGCCUGAGAGGUAUCCAGAAGAUGUUUCUUGGUUGAGCUUAACAGGCUAUCAGGAAUGCAGUACGCAGUCUGAUCUGGCAAAUGGCUGUUUUGCAUCCCGAUCAGGGGCCAUUUACAAUCUUGCCCCAGGGUAUAACUCUCCCAACCUCUGGUUGUUGUCAAAAAUGCCUUGGGGUGGAAUUAGGACCCCUGAGAGCAAGUCUGGGUUAGGUUAAAAAAAAAAAAAAAAAAAAAAUCUUGCAGGGUGAAGAGCAGGAGUAGACCAACUAAAAGUGUUUACAGAGAAUUGCAGUCAUAUGCAACAUAAUGUUGAGCUCCCUUUUGGAACACAAGCUCUGGGAAUCUGUACUCAUUUCUGGUACUCCUUUCCUCCCUCAGGAUGGACUGGGGCAAGAGACCUCUGGAAGCAAUGAAAGGGGUUACUUCCACAAGCCUCCUAGCCUCUCUCCAAGACCAACUUGGCCCACUUUUUGACCCCGUCCUGCAGAUUUUGCAUUUAUUGUACCUUCCUUCCCAGCCAUUCCAAACAAGAGACUUGCUCUUUCUCACCUAAAACUAAGCAGGGACCUCCAACUUCUUCCACCUGUUGGCCCUUAAACUCCACUCGCUGCAUCACAGGUAUCUUAGGAAUCCUUGACCCUCAGCCUCUAAGGCUCUCAGCCUGUGCCUCCCACAAUUGACCUGUGAGUCCAGCAGACCCCACAGGUGCCUCAGAGCUGCCCAAGUUCCUCUAAAAUAAUUUUUUGUAUGUAUAUAUGUAUUGAUGUAUU